GAAACCGGUGUCUGCGCUCCGUGCUGCUCAGCAAGGCACGGGGAUGGAGACCUGGGAUGAUUAUGGCGUGUUAGCGUUCACUCGGGAGGAUUUGUCAUAGUUCUUUAAUCUACCAGUAAGAACCGAAAGGACUGGAACAGAAGGCAGCCAAAUUAAGGCCGGGAGCAAUAAAACAUCAUUUGGGUUACCGUAAGGGUACUGAAAAACCGAUAUUACCUAUAUAAAGCACUACUGGAUCUUGGAUCUCUUAUAAUUUCAUCUCUACAAUGGAUGAGUUCCUCAUAUAAGCCACAUAUAAGUAAUUUCUCCAUCUGUUUGAUUUGGGUUGUGGAGAAAAUUCUGGCAUCUUUAUUGCUGUGAAGAUCAACCUAAAUGAUCGCAGAACCAGUGAUUGGAACAGUAGAUCCAUGUUUUCAAAUAUGUGAAUAUUAAUUAGUUUCUGGUGCACUCCAAAUUAAGAGUAUCCCUUCAGCCUUAUUCUCCCCUUCUUGUGCAUCCACCAUGGGCUCUUGAAAAUUGUACAUGUUAAGUGUAACUCAAAGAUAUUCAUAAGCACACAUUAUCUUUUAUGAAGAAAGCUUGCACAUGAACCUGUAUUUCAUAUUUUCUGACUCAAAAUGCUGAAUUAAAUUAUUUACUGUAAUGAGUUAUUUCACUGUCUAAAUAACAUUCAAAGUACUGAAAUUUAUAAACAAAGAUCAGCCACAGUACUUGAAAUGUUUCCAGCCACCAGAAAGUAUAUGGGGGUCUGUGGACAGCUCGGAAGUGAGCUUAGUGCAACGAAGAUGCAAUUUAAAUGUUUGCUAUAAAUUAGAAGUUUGUACCUGUAAGCUAUUAUUGAUUUUUAUAUAUAUAUAUAUAUAUAUAUAUAUAUAUAUGCAUCUCUUGAAGUUAUCUGGCUACAGUAAAUUUUAUUUCAGUUUUUCUAUAAAGAACUGCUUGGAAAUCCCUGUAGAGAGUCGGAAUCGGAAUUUUAACCCUGUGGUUUCCUGUUCUCUCUAAUCCAUUCUGUCUAUGCAUUCUUGACACUAUCAGGUUUGUGAGAAAAGUGUAUUUAGUUUUGGGGGAUUUGAUGAAUCAGACAGAAUACAGAUUCUGUAAACAUAUAGGAGAUUGUGCAGAUAGUUAAAAUAGGUUUGGGGGUUUUUUUGGUGGCAGGUAAAUACUACAACUUAGAUAUUUUUGUCUUAUUGUAUAUGUUUUUAUAUCACACAUCCUCAAGUUUGUUGCUUCAUCAAUGUCAUUAUUUUACUCUCUAUAAAUUCUUUCUGUAUUUAAAACUUCCUGCAUUUCUCAGGUCAUGUUCAUCCAAAAUAUCUGUCCUUCACUUGCUAGCUUGUAUACUCCGUGCUGCUCUCUACACCAAUUACAGCAGAGUGGAGCAGGGGUAGUGUUUCAUCUCCAGUAGCUUCAGCACAGUUGGCUUUUUUUUUUGUACUUAAUGAUCUUCCUUUCAUAUUUCUUCUUAAAAUUGGCUAUGUCUCAGUUGUGUUCCUUAAGUAAUACUUACUUGCUAAUUCCAUGCUUGUAUUUAUCCAUAUAGUAGUUUUUUUCUUUCAGAAAGAUAAACAAUCUGAUGUACCUUUAAAAUUCUAUUGAAAUUCAAACUGUUUGUACCCUAAAAUGUUUAAGUCAUCUUGCUAGACUAAAAAUUCAUCUCAGAUAUUCAAUUUUUUUCUGUUUUUUCCUGCAAGAAUUUAAACUUUCCUUGAAAAGAAAAAUUCUGAAAAGUCUGUUUUACAAUUUCUAAAAAGACCUUCCAAAAUGUUUGAAAAAAUAUACACUUCAGUAGUUUUGUUUCAGUAUUACUUCACUUUAUAUAAUUUUUUGACUUAAUUUUUUUUGCAUUAUGUUCAGGUGUAUUUCAGUAGUCAAGAGGGUAACAUGUAUUUUGUUUAUAUUCUGUUGAAAGAUUUCUACAAAAAUAACUUUAGAUUUUGAGUAAUCAGCAUUUUCUAGCAGAAAGCUAUACAUCAGAAAAUUUUAAAUAAUUCAAAGGACUAAAAAUUUAGCGUACAAUUUUCACCACACUAAGGAUAAAAAAAAGCUUUUCAGAAUAAAGUAUUUGGUCGCCCAUAGUGGACAAGUGAGGCAUUAGCUGUUGGAAGGAGGAAAGAAAUUCCUAAUCCUAUUAGCUAAUAGAUGGCUUAUUCCCAGCUGAUCAUCAUAUGUUCUUUUUACAGUAUCUAGCUGAUUUAAUACAAUUCUGGAGAGUUUUUUCCCAUUCUUACAUUUUCCACUUGCAAUCCUUGUUGGGAUGUGUACAAAUUGGCAAACCUCAGUGUGUCAGAUGAGCAUGUUGGGAUAGUGAGGUUGAAACAGCAGAGCAGUGUAGUAGGUGUAAUUAUGGGUAAAGAAUCUGAAAAAGAGCUACCACCUUUUGAAGUCAGAGCUUUGCCUGCAGAGGAAAUCCUUGGGAAAGGAUUGGCAUAAGCUCCAUGGAAUGAAGAGGUACAGUCCGUAUAAAUAUAGACUCCAUCAAAAUGCACUUUGAGUAUUGUCAGAAGAGUUCACUGACUCUAAAAUGGAUCAGGUGAUUAUGAUGAAGUGUCAGGAGAAUAUAGGAGCUCUCAGAUGUCUUGAGCAUAUCAUAUUCUGAUACAUAAAAGCAUCCAGUUCCACCUGGAGAAUGAAGCGUUCAUAAUUUAACACAAUCUGCAGGCAGAACUUCAGAGAAGAGGCGAAAGAAGAUUUUGGUGACAAAACUGAGUUACAUUUGCUAGCCUGAGACAAUUUGCCAUCGUGAAGCUGGUGUACUACAGCAGCAAUUGUCAUUAUGAACCCUAGAAUUUAUGUGAGACAUAGUUUGGAUAAUUUUGAAUAUUUUUAAUGGAGAAAGGACGGUUGAGAACAGACAUGCACUGUGAACUACUAACACCAGCAAGGUUCUCUCUGCAGGCUCAGAAAGAGCAUUUGUGAUUGCAGUAAAAUCAUAAAUGCAUGGCAUUUGUACUGUUGGUAUAAUCUAGUAAUCUUAUAGAUACAUAAUCUAAUAAAAGCAGCAAAAAUUUAACGUAAUGUUUUUAAUAUCUUCAUCAGAUGGUCCCUAUCAUGGACAAUACACUUUAUCACAAACAGAACUCAAAUAUGCUUUAUAAUUUCCUUUCUUUAACUAAACAAUAAUAUAUUUCAAAGUUAAAAAUGAAGUUAUAGAUGUGCUCUCCUAAAAUUCCUGCACACUGUCCAUUUUUAUUAAGAAUAUAUGGAAAAAAAUUUCCUAUACUCUUCCUGUAAAAUAAUACAGUGGUUUGAAUUUCUUCAUCUGCCAUUAUUUGGUUGUCAGGUGUAAUUUUUUGCCUUAUUUUCCUUCAAAGCCAUCCUGAAUCACUCUGAAAAGGAUACUCAAGCACUUAGCUAUACCAUUAAUUUUCAUGGAAAAAUGCACUUUAAGGGAAAAAAAAAAGUGCAGCUUCAAGGUAACAGCAAGACAUCAAUUUUCUGUGUUUGAAAUUAACAUAAUGUUUUACAUAAUGAUCCUCUCUGCUGAUCAUUAAAAUAACAUAGUUACCUCGGCAACUGGAACAGUCUGCAAAUGUUAUCUAGUGAUACAUAACACAUUCUAAAAAUACAUACAACAAAUAAGGUCUGAAACAUUAUCAUUUGGGGGAAAAAGGUUUUUUUCAAUAAAAUUGCCUUCUGGUCUAAGCAGAUUUUUGUGAGAAAAUUUCAGUUCAACAGAACUUUAUUUUUAUUCAAAACUGACUUUAUUUGCUCAAAACUUGAAGACCUGGUGUUGUUUCGUUUCCUGACAAUGGAAAAACUGUAGUUGCUUUUCAAUUACAAUUUUCAUUUUUCUAUAAAUGUUUCAAUGGCAAAUGUUCAGGCAAUAAAAUACAUUUCUAAAGCAAGUGUUGAAUGCUUAAAAAACUGCUGUAAAGCACAGCAUACCAAAUAACUGACUGAUGAAUUCAGAGGAUCUAGAGAGUUCACUGCUUUAUAUUUGGAUGUCUCUACUGUCAUUGCUUGUACCCUUGUGGGUCUGUCCUGAAUGACUGAGACCUAAUGGGACUGAAAUGAACCAACAUUGACGCUCUUCACUUUUUUCUUUUUCAAGCAAAACUCAAUCAGCUGUGUUCACUGGUGGUUUUGGUUGUCUUGAAAUGAAUUUUUGUGUAUCAUUGAUUUGCUGAAAAGUUUUGCCAGGACUAGCUACCAGCACAUCUCCCAGUAGAAUGGAAAAUUGCUCUGAGACUCUGCCUGUAAAUGGAUGAAGUCUUCUUCUGCUUGUAAUGUUUUCUAGAUUAAUUACACCCCCAUUGAUACCUGGGUAUGUGCAAACUUGUGACUGCUAGACUGUAUCACAAGGAGUUAAAUAGCAUUAAACCUGCAACAACUACAUUAGACAAUAUUCCUGUGACUGGCUGAGUCAGGCAGCAAAGAAUUCUGAAAAUCCUGGGGCAGGAGCCACAAGCGUAAGAUCACAGAUUAUGCUUGUAACUAUGGAUGUGGAGACCACCUGUUCUAGAAUCAUUUCAGAGAGACAGAACAAGUGGCAUACAAGUCUUAUUCCAUGAGACUCCAGUGCUAAAAGUCCAGUCUGCAGAUUUUAUUCUUCCUUCACUGAUCUUGUCUGUUUCUGCAUUCUCAUUUCUUGCUGUCACAUGCCUUUUUCCCAAACACAUGCCCCUGUUGUUGUUUUCUCUCUUUUCCUUCUGCUUUCUGCAGCUCUCUUUUCUUGCUCUCUUCAGCAGGUCUGCUGGGAAGCAUAUACAGUGCCCUUCAUCCCUUCCAGCAGCUCUUUGCCACCUCGACUGUCUUGACUGUUGUCAAUUAGUCACAUGCAAAUUGCUCAAGUGGAACACUUUAUUUUUGUUCCAGAAACAGCCAGUUUUGACCUUGAGAGCCAUGGACACAUGAUGAGUGAAAGGAAGUGCUCUUGCUAUAGUCCAUAUGCCAACUUUAGCAGGAAGAAGCAGCUGGUUUUCACCCCAAAAACCAUUCUAAUGGGCACAUUAUGAUUCAGUAUGCUGCAUUAUUUGGAAAAAGAAGAUGCUUCUGAAACUGAACCAAACUACUUCUUUUUCUGCUGACACUAACAUUAUAUGUGCAAAUUUCAUUAGGGUUUUUUAUGCCUUUUUAGUCAUACAAAAUAAAUGUUAUCUGCUGUAAAAUGCAGUCUGCACUCGGCAAACAAGAGCUUUCACUCAUAGAUUUGAUAGCUCCAGAUUGUGAAUACUGCCAGGGAAAUUACUGGUAGUAUUGUGUGAAAUUCCUUCCUGUGC